CUCCUUUGACGUUAGCGGCGGACGGGUGAGUAACACGUGGGUAACCUACCUAUAAGACUGGGAUAACUUCGGGAAACCGGAACUAAUACCGGAUAAUAUUUCGAACCGCAUGGUUCGAUAGUGAAAGAUGGUUUUGCUAUCACUUAUAGAUGGACCCGCGCCGUAUUAGCUAGUUGGUAAGGUAACGGCUUACCAAGGCGACGAUACGUAGCCGACCUGAGAGGGUGAUCGGCCACACUGGAACUGAGACACGGUCCAGACUCCUACGGGAGGCAGCAGCC
rnacentral:rRNA from 1 species